rnacentral:misc_RNA from 1 species
UUUUUUUUUUUUUUUCUGUUUCUUUUCGUUAUCAUUCUGAUUCCUUACUCUUAGAGGAUCUAUUUCUACUGUAUGGGUUAUUUUGCUAGAUUCAGAGGAUGUUUUAAGCAUGUUAUUUGGUUGAGAAAAAUCAAUUUUAGCAACAUUUGUUUGGUAUAAUUAUCGUCAAUAUGAUUUCUUGAACCCCUUUUGUUAAAAAUUUAGGAUAAUGGUUUUAUGUUGUUUGUGAAAAGAAGCUAAAAGUUAUUGCAUGUGCGUUUACAAACAAUUACGCUUUACAUACAAGGAUUUGAGUUUUAAGUAAUCAGCAAAAGCUGAAUUUCUUGAAAAAGUAUAAAAUUUGAAUGUAAGUUCCAAAUAUACUGUAAUCUUUGUUUGGGAAUGUUAUCCUGGGAUGUAUGACUGUGGGUUUAUCUUUUUGAAAACUUCAAAUCAAUGGAUAGAAUCUAGGAACUUAAAAUAGAACCUGUAUGUACCCUCCCCUUGAAAUUUUUAAGGCCUGUUGUCUCCACUAAACCAUCAAUCAGAUCAUCUAGGCAUCGAUGUGGAUCGACUAAAUCUUAUGCCAUUGAGGGUCUGAGACUACGCUGGAUGGCAUCUAUUGCAACAUUAUUGGCUGUUCUCAAUUACAAAUAAGAGAACUGCAUGCAUCUCAUUGCUCAUAAUGCCAUAUUUUAGUUACAUGAGGCGGGCAACUGAAAUUUCAUCAUAUGUUAAACCUGUCUAUUUUCUAAACUAUUCAAUUAUUGAUGGCAUUUGUGAAUUCCAUCCUUGAAGUGUUGUCAUAUUCAAAAUGUCUAUCUGAUUGCUUAUAAGUUCAAGGCGAAGUGUGUCUCUGCUUUGAGUUGUGAAUUGACUCAUUGAUAAUUUCAUGUUUGUUUAAGUAUCUUGAUUGGUUUUGAGUAUUCUAAAUUCAAUCUAUUCUUUUUUUAUUCUUUUUUUAUGGCUAGGCCCAUUGGAUAAAUGUCUCCAG